rnacentral:rRNA from 1 species
AGUGAACGCUGGCGGUAGGCCUAACACAUGCAAGUCGAACGGCAGCACAGUAAGAGCUUGCUCUUACGGUUGGCGAGUGGCGGACGGGUGAGGAAUACAUCGGAAUCUACUUUUUCGUGGGGGAUAACGUAGGGAAACUUACGCUAAUACCGCAUACGACCUACGGGUGAAAGCAGUGGAGCUUCGGACCUUGCGCGAUUGAAUGAGCCGAUGUCGGAUUAGCUAGUUGGCGGGGUAAAGGCCCACCAAGGCGACGAUCCGUAGCUGGUCUGAGAGGAUGAUCAGCCACACUGGAACUGAGACACGGUCCAGACUCCUACGGGAGGCAGGAGUGGGGAAUAUUGGACAAUGGGCGCAAGCCUGAUCCAGCCAUACCGCGUGGGUGAAGAAGGCCUUCGGGUUGUAAAGCCCUUUUGUUGGGAAAGAAAAGCAGCAGGUUAAUACCCCGCUGUUCUGACGGUACCCAAAGAAUAAGCACCGGCUAACUUCGUG